UCGAGAUGAGUUUUUUUAGAUGACGAGUCUGAAAUGCUGCCAAGGAGUUUCUCCGAGGCAGCAGUCCUUGACGAUACCAUAAAACUAUACCAUUCAUGCUUUUCUGAAC
rnacentral:snoRNA from 1 species